rnacentral:rRNA from 1 species
UACGAAGGGUGCUAGCGUUGUUCGGAAUUACUGGGCGUAAAGCGCGCGUAGGCGGCGUCGCAAGUCAGAGGUGAAAUCCCAGGGCUCAACCCUGGAAUUGCCUUUGAAACUGCGAUGCUAGAGUGUCGGAGGGGAUAGCGGAAUUGCUAAUGUAGAGGUGAAAUGCGUAGAUAUCAUUUGGAACGCCAAUGGUGAAAACAGGUUGCUGGGGCUGUGCUGACACUGAGACACGAAAGCCAGGGGAGCAAACGGG